GACGAACGCUGGCGGCGUGCUUAACACAUGCAAGUCGAACGGAAAGGCCUCUUUCGGGGGGUACUCGAGUGGCGAACGGGUGAGUAACACGUGAGUAACCUGCCCUUGACUUUGGGAUAACUUCAGGAAACUGGGGCUAAUACCGGAUAGGAGCUCCUGCUGCAUGGUGGGGGUUGGAAAGUUUCGGCGGUUGGGGAUGGACUCGCGGCUUAUCAGCUUGUUGGUGGGGUAGUGGCUUACCAAGGCUUUGACGGGUAGCCGGCCUGAGAGGGUGACCGGCCACAUUGGGACUGAGAUACGACCCAGACUCCUACGGGGGGCAGCAGUGGGGAAUAUUGCACAAUGGGUGGAAGCCUGAUGCAGCAACGCCGUGUGCGGGAUGACGGCCUUCGGGUUGUAAACCGCUUUCGCUCAUGACGAAGCUUUGUGUGACGGUAGUGGGUAAAGAAGCACCGGCUAACUACGUG
rnacentral:rRNA from 1 species